CCUACGGGUGGCAGCAGUGAGGAAUAUUGGACAAUGGUCGUAACCCUGAUGCAGCGACGCAGCGUGCGUGAAGAAGGACUUCGGUAUGGUAAACUCUUUCAGCACGGGAGAAAAUGACGGUACGUGAGUAAGUAGCCCCGUCUAACUACGUGCCAGCAGCCGCGGUAAUACGGAGGGUGCCAGCGUUAUCCGGAUUUACUGGGUGUAAAGGGAGCGUAGUCGGCAGUGCAAGUCUGGAGUGAAAGGCGGGGGCUCAACCCUCGGACUGGGCUGGAAACUGUACGGCUGGAGUGCAGGCAAGGUAAGCGGAAUUCGUGGUGUAGCGGUGAAAUGCGUAGAUAUCAGGAGGAACACCAGUGGCGAAGGCGGCAUACUGGAGUGUAACUGACGCUGAGGCUCGAAAGCGUGGGGAGCAAACAGGAUUAGAUACCCGAGUAGUC
rnacentral:rRNA from 1 species